UGUAACUUAGAUUGUUGGUAUUUUUAAAUAAUUCAUACAUUAGAACCAAAGACGAAAUCCAAAAUAAAUAAAUAACUCUUUUCUUUGCUGUGUCACCCCUGUAGAUGCGUAAACCUUUAAGUCUCUACCACCAACAUUGAAGUAUUAUGCAUCCAUUCUUGUCUAGACUACCUAUUUACUGAAUAACAUUCGGCAAAAGCAAUAUUUUGCUAUAAACAUUGCUAAUGUAAUCAAGAGUCAUUUCCAAGGUCAAAAAAGUUCACUAGCAUGAAAGCUUUUUCUUUACGAUCUAGUAAACGAGGAUAAAGAGCUACAAUCAUAUCUGUUAGCCUAAAUGAAAUUACGGGUGUUUUUAAGGCUCAACUUUUCUUUUCAGUUCAAUAACUUUGCUCAAGGACAAAACCCUGACUUGGCUCAAUUUCGUUACUCAGAUCAAUAAUUUGCUCACGAACAGUACCCUAAGAAUUGGUUUGUUAUUCAUUGAUACCGUUCAUUACCAAUCUGAUGGCUGCUUAUUCAACCAAAAUAUUUUCAUUCAUCAUAACCUCGAGUCUCAGAUAAUUAAGUCUAAAGAAAACGUUAUUUCUGCUAAUCAUUCAUUUUUGCUUGUCAUUACUAGGCUCAAAACCAGGUAUGUCAUUAUUUCCUCUAAUAUCUGUAUAUGGAGCAAAUGCCCUUAGAAAAAUUCCUCCGAUACAAGGUUGAAGUCUAUUUACUGUCCACGUGAGUUUACAAAAUAUAUGACUGCGAUAAUACGGAUCUAUAAGUGUAUGUAAUCCUUUUGAUUUGACAUUUACCAUUUCACCAGUUAGUAUGAAGCUUCAUAAAUGAUUUCAACAGUCCACGACCACUCCAACAAGCACCAUGAAUUUAUAGUUACUCUGCACCAUAGGUUCAUCAUGGAAAGCAAGUGCUAAAGAUGUCCAUAUGGAACAAAUCUAGAAAUUUGAAGAAAACCCAAACUUCCAUUUUUACAGCAUUUGCUUGUAUAGGUGUUUGGAUAUUUACUCUCUACUAUGUAUAAUGUUGCAGUGCUAAUCAUAAAAAAGCAUUUAUUGAUGAAACUGACAAUAGGCUACCAAGACAAAAG
rnacentral:lncRNA from 1 species